UGGGGAAUAUUGGACAAUGGGCGCAAGCCUGAUCCAGCCAUGCCGCGUGAGUGAUGAAGGCCCUAGGGUUGUAAAGCUCUUUCACCGGUGAAGAUAAUGACGGUAACCGGAGAAGAAGCCCCGGCUAACUUCGUGCCAGCAGCCGCGGUAAUACGAAGGGGGCUAGCGUUGUUCGGAUUUACUGGGCGUAAAGCGCACGUAGGCGGACUAUUAAGUCAGGGGUGAAAUCCCGGGGCUCAACCCCGGAACUGCCUUUGAUACUGGUAGUCUUGAGUUCGAGAGAGGUGAGUGGAAUUCCGAGUGUAGAGGUGAAAUUCGUAGAUAUUCGGAGGAACACCAGGGGCGAAGGCGGCUCACUGGCUCGAUACUGACGCUGAGGUGCGAAAGCGUGGGGAGCAAACAGG
rnacentral:rRNA from 1 species